rnacentral:rRNA from 1 species
GAUGAACGCUGGCGGCGUGCUUAACACAUGCAAGUCGAACGGAAAGGCUCCUGCUUGCUGGGGUACUCGAGUGGCGAACGGGUGAGUAACACGUGGGUGAUCUGCCCUGCACUUCGGGAUAAGCCUGGGUAACUGGGUCUAAUACCGGAUAGGACUAUGUUUUGGAUGCCAUUGUUGAAAGUUUUUCGGUGUGGGUUGUGCUCGCUGCCUAUCAGCUUGUUUGUGGUGUAAUGGCAUGCGACCGCGUCGACGGGUAGCCGGACUGUGAGGGUGUACGGCCACAAUGGGACUGAGAUACGGCCCAGACUGCUACGGGAGGCAGCAGUGGGGAAUAUUGCACAAUGGGAGCAAGCGUGAUGAAGAGACGCAGCGUGGGGGAUGACGGCCUUCGGGUUGUAAACAAAAUUCGCUAGGGACGAAGCGAAAGUGACGGUACCUGGAGAAGAAGCACCGGCUAACUACGUG